rnacentral:rRNA from 1 species
AAUAGAUACCCCGGUAGUCCACGCCGUAAACGAUGAGUGCUAAGUGUUAGAGGGUUUCCGCCCUUUAGUGCUGCAGCAAACGCAUUAAGCACUCCGCCUGGGGAGUACGGUCGCAAGACUGAAACUCAAAGGAAUUGACGGGGGCCCGCACAAGCGGUGGAGCAUGUGGUUUAAUUCGAAGCAACGCGAAGAACCUUACCAGGUCUUGACAUCCUUAUGCCUUCUCUAGAGAUAGAGCUUUCCCUUCGGGGACAUAAGUGACAGGUGGUGCAUGGUUGUCGUCAGCUCGUGUCGUGAGAUGUUGGGUUAAGUCCCGCAACGAGCGCAACCCUUGAUCUUAGUUGCCAGCAUUCAGUUGGGCACUCUAAGGUGACUGCCGGUGACAAACCGGAGGAAGGUGGGGAUGACGUCAAAUCAUCAUGCCCCUUAUGACCUGGGCUACACACGUGCUACAAUGGAUGGUACAAAGGGCAGCGAAACCGCGAGGUUAAGCCAAUCCCAUAAAACCAUUCUCAGUUCGGAUUGCAGG